rnacentral:tRNA from 1 species
AUUGACGAAGCAAAAUCUGGUUAUGCUAAAGAUCUAAGCCCUUUCCCUAGAGGUUCAAAUCCUCUCGUCAAUU